rnacentral:rRNA from 1 species
GAUGAACGCUGGCGGCGUGCCUAAUACAUGCAAGUCGAGCGAACGGACGAGAAGCUUGCUUCUCUGUUGUUAGCGGCGGACGGGUGCGUAACACUUGCAUAACCUACCUCUAAGUCUGGGAUAACUUCGGGAAACCGGAGCUAAUACCGGAUAAUAUUUUGAUCCGCAUGGUUCUAAAGUGAAAGACGGUCUUGCUGUCACUUAUAGAUUGAUCCAGUCUGCAUUUGCUAGUUGGUAAGGUAACGGCUUCCCAAGGCAACGAUGCAUAGCCGCCAUGAGAGGGGGGUCGGCAACACGAGAACUGAGACACGGUACAGACUCCUACGGGAGGCAGCAGUAGGGAAGCGUACGCAAUGGGCGAAAGCAUGACGGAGCAAAGCCGCGUGAGUGAAGAAGGACUUGGGAUCGGAAAACUCUGUUAUGAGGGAAGAACAGAAGUGUAAGUAACUGAGCACAUCGUGACGGUACCAAAACAGAAAGCCACGGCUAACUACGUG